GGCGAACGCUGGCGGCGUGCCUAACACAUGCAAGUCGAACGGGGUUGAGCCCUUCGGGACUCAACUUAGUGGCGAACGGGUGAGUAACGCGUGAGAAACCUGCCUUUCAGUGGGGGACAACAGUUGGAAACGACUGCUAAUACCGCAUAACGUAUUUAGGGGGCAUCCCUUGAAUACCAAAGCUUUAUGUGCUGAAAGAUGGUCUCGCGUCUGAUUAGCUAGAUGGCGGGGUAACGGCCCACCAUGGCGACGAUCAGUAGCCGGUCUGAGAGGAUGAACGGCCACAUUGGGACUGAGAUACGGCCCAGACUCCUACGGGAGGCAGCAGUGGGGAAUAUUGGGCAAUGGGGGAUACCCUGACCCAGCAACGCCGCGUGAAGGAAGAAGGCCUUCGGGUUGUAAACUUCUUUUAGUAGGGACGAAGAACGUGACGGUACCUACAGAAAAAGCAACGGCUAACUACGUGCCAGCAGCCGCGGUAACAC
rnacentral:rRNA from 1 species